ensembl:lncRNA
GGCGGCCCGGGGCGGAGUUGGCCCUGCGCUGUCCCGGCUCCCCGGGGGCUCCGGGCUGGUCCCGGGAUUGCCCCCGCCCUGCCGCCGGCACCCCCGGGGCCGCGCCGUCCCCCCGCCGCCCUCCCGAGCGUCUCCCCGGCCGCCGCGGGGAGGGAGAGGAUGUCUGGCAGCACGGCGAGGAAGGUCCAGCCCUUCACCAUAAGCACCAAGCUCUCCCUGCCCAAGUGUGCCGCCGACUUCUCUGGGGAUGCUCGCCCUGGCAUCGCUCUCGCCUCCGCUCUGGAUAACCACCACGGCCUUCGACACAACCUCAACGAGCGCAUCUCCCUCUACCUGGCCCGGGCCCGGGCCAACCCCGCUCCCCCCGACAGCCAGCCCCACAGCACCAGCCCUGUGGAAGAAGGAGUCACCGAUGAGGACCGGCUUAACCGCAACUCUCUUGCCCGCUCCAUUAAGAAGAUCACGCUGUCCAACUGGCAUGGGGAAGCUGUCCCAGGUGAUGCAGGGGGACUCGGGGACCCUGCCCAGACUGGCGGUGAGAGGAACCACAACAACAACAACAGUAGACCAGGGAAAGCUCAGUUCAAGCUCACAGGAGGCCCCGCAGUGGCUCCUCAGAGAGAAAGCCCCAAGAGCAAGGAGCCCGCCGCACUGAAAAGCGGUGGGCGAAGCAGCGCGGGACCGGCCAACCUUCUCAACCUGAGCCCCUUGAUAGCCCAGUUCAACCGGGAGAUGCUGCAGGUGAGCCCCCGCUGGGGGUCCCUGGCCGCCGGACUGCGCCCGCAGCCCGGCUGUGGCGGAGGGGCGAGGGGGCUGCCUGCGCACAGGAGCCUUUCAUGUGAGCUGCGGGGUGGGGUGCGCUGCGGGGAGGGCUGAACUCUCGGCCUCGAGCGAAGCCAUUGUUGUGGCAUGAGAUCAUUUUUGGCUGCCUCUCCCUGGCUGUCAGCCCCAGGGAGAGGGGGUCAGCUCACACCAGGGCCCAGCUUCCUCCACACAUGCACACACACAUCCCCCCGCCUUCCUCCCCCCCGGGUCCCUUUCCCUCACCAGCAGCAUGGGAAUAGGGAUGGCGAAGAGGGGCUGCAUCCACGUGCUGGAGGGGGUGCGCGUGCGCAUGCACGCGUUUGCAUGGGCAAGGAGAGCAGAUGUCUUGCACGGGGACAUCUUGUGCAGAGCCUCCCCGCUCGGCCUGCUGCGGCUUCUCCCGUCAGCCUGCACCGGGCUGGAGCAGGUGGAAAAAAGAGAUGCCACUCACCUUCCCAUCCCCACUGCCGCAGCCUCGGGGCUCUUGCAGAGCCAGAGACUGCCCAGCUCAUGGCUUUUCCUCGCGUGGCAGGCGGAGGGCUGGGUGCGAGGCAAGCUGCGGGACCUGAAAGACAGCUGCAACAUGCAGGACUGGGAGCAGGUGGCUCAGACCCUGCAGAGGGACAUGAAGGAUUUUGAGAACACGCUGAUAAAGCUCAACCAGGUGAGGCCAGGCUGCAGCGCAGACCCCCUCGCCACAGGGACCUUCCCCAUCCGAGCUCUCCUCUGCCAUAACUAGGCAGUGUCGGUGCCUCUGUGCUCUUCCCGUGCCUCCCUGGCAGGCCGGGGCCCCCGGGGCAGUGCCUGCCUCUGAGUGGGUCCCUUGCCCCCACAGAUGGGUGAGCAGCUGAUGGGCUGGCCGAGCCCCACCGCCGAGACGGUGCGGCGGCAGCUGCUGGCCCUGCGGGAGCAGUGGCAGCUCCUCCGGCAGAUGGCCGCCAGCCAGAGCAGAGCCCUGGGCGGGCUGCGGAGCCUGCAGGACUUCACCAGGAAGGCCGAGCGGCUGGAAGCGUGGAUCAGGCAGAAGGUACAGUGUGCCGAGAGCCCAGCUGGGUCAGGGUUGGCCGGGAUG